rnacentral:rRNA from 1 species
AAUCAGCUAUGGUUCCUUAGAUCGUACAUACUACAUGGAUAACUGUAGUAAUUCUAGAGCUAAUACAUGCCACUAUGCCCUGACCCGCGAGGGGACGGGUGGAUUUAUUAGAACAAAACCAACCGGGAGUGGCUUCGGCCCCUCCCGUUGCGCUUCGUGAUGACUCUGGAUAACUUCACUGAUCGCAGUCGGCCUUGCGCCGGCGACGGAUCUUUCAAAUGUCUGCCCUAUCAAUUUUCGAUGGUAGGUGACCUGCCUACCAUGGUUCUAACGGGUAACGGGGAAUCGGGGUUCGAUUCCGGAGAGGGAGCCUGAGAAACGGCUACCACUUCCAAGGAAGGCAGCAGGCACGCAAAUUACCCAAUCCCGGCACGGGGAGGUAGUGACGAAAAAUACGGAUACGGGACUCGAUAGAGGCUCCGUAAUUCGAAUGAGUACAAUUUAAAUCCUUUAACGAGGAUCAACUGGAGGGCAAGUCUGGUGCCAGCAGCCGCGGUAACUCCAGCUCCAGAAGCGUAUAUUAAAGUUGUUGCAGUUAAAAAGCUCGUAGUUGGAUCUGGGUCGCAUGGCUACAUGCCGUCGCUUGUGGACUUGUUCUGGUGACUGCCGGAGCAGGCUCGCGAGUCGGUCUAGUGGUUGUGCUUCCUUUCUGCUGUGUCUGUUUACAGGUGUCAGCGUGAUUGGUGGGUUUUCCUGCCGGUCCGUUGGCAUGCUUCUUGAUGCCUUUAAACGGGUGUCGGAGGCGGACAGCACGUUUACUUUGAACA